UCUCUUUCUCCCUUGUUCAUCGCUGUUCUCCUCUCUCUCUUUCGUCUGAUUGGGUUUUAGUCCCUUGGUUUACCCCUCCGAUUUUUCAUUUACACGAACUCUCUUUUCUAUAUGUGUUUGUUCUUUAUCCACUGGAUCCAAUCUAAGACGUGCAGUAGCAGAGAAAAUCACAUCAAUUGAAGAGUAAGGAAGAAAAGGAAGAACAACCUCUGUGAGGUUUUUGGAGGAUGGCAAAAAAUUGUGGAAGAAGCAAUCUUUAUUUGUGGUCCAGGAAUAAACAAAUGGUGAAGAUAGCCUUUAA